CAAAUUGUUUAUAUCCACCAUUUUGCUGAAAGACCUUUUUUUCAAGGUUUGAAAUUUAUAUAUCAACUAUCACUUCUUCUUUCAAGUUCCAGCUGAAAAUUUUAAGAAAAUCUGUAACACUUCCAAACCCAAAAGUUACCCCAUCUAUUCCCUCCUCCUUCCAUUUUUAUUAUAAACUUGGUUAUUAGGUACACUCUAUUAAGUAGAUAGGAUGG